AGCAGUCGCCGCGGGAAUACGGAGGGGGCUAGCGUUGUUCGGAAUUACUGGGCGUAAAGCGCACGUAGGCGGCUUGGUAAGUUAGAGGUGAAAGCCCGGAGCUCAACUCCGGAAUUGCCUUUAAGACUGCCGAGCUAGCAGGUGAGAGAGGUAAGUGGAAUUCCGAGUGUAGAGGUGAAAUUCGUAGAUAUUCGGAAGAACACCAGUGGCGAAGGCGGCUCACUGGCUCAUACUGGACGCUGAGGUGCGAAAGCGUGGGGAGCAAACAGGAUUAGAUACCCCGGUAGUCCCUGUCUCUUAUAC
rnacentral:rRNA from 1 species